GACGUAGGGCGCGAGCGUUGUCCAGAUUUAUUGGGCGUAAAGAGCUUGUAGGCGGUUUGUCGCGUCUGCUGUGAAAAUCCGGGGCUCAACCCCGGACUUGCAGUGGGUACGGGCAGACUAGAGUGUGGUAGGGGAGACUGGAAUUCCUGGUGUAGCGGUGGAAUGCGCAGAUAUCAGGAGGAACACCGAUGGCGAAGGCAGGUCUCUGGGCCACUACUGACGCUGAGAAGCGAAAGCAUGGGGAGCGAACAGG
rnacentral:rRNA from 1 species